UGCUCCAUUUUUGAUGUAGAAAACAUGACAGCUAAAAAUAUAAUUAGUAAAUUGUUUUCCUUGUUUCGUCCUGCAGGCCAAAACAACAGCAACAGAACAAUUUUUCCUUGUUUCCUUCUACUAAAGGCUGGAAUUUCAGAGGGAAGAAACGAAAACAGAGUACUCAAGAUGAAGAUACCAUCAGUAUCUGCAGCUUGGAUACAAGCGUGAGUGAUUUCUUUCCUUUCCUUUUGCCUCUCCUUAUAAAUGAAAUCUGGAUGUUAUUGGUGCUCUGAAACAAACCCGUUUGUUCUUUUGGCUGUAUUGUUUUCAUGCACAGCAUGAAUAAUUUAUUCUGCUUAUUUAAAAGAAAAGGUGUUACCACUUUUCAUUUUUCUGUAGGGGUGCUUUUAAAGUGGAAAAUGAGAAGUUAGAAUGAUGGCAGUGGAUCUCUUAUUAGUAAAUAAUUAUCAGGGCAAAUGGGCAUUGUGAGUACAGGACUUAAAAAAUAGACCUUUUGUCCUAUAAUGUGGUACGUGAGAUAAUUUAGUUCACUUAGGGCAGUGAUGGAUACUGCUGGUGCUGUGAAGCUGUGUAAUGUGAUAUUACUGCAGUUAUGUGACCUUGGUGCAUUGUUUUUGAAGUGGCCCACUGAAACACAGCUAUGAUUUUCUAUCACAUUUCAGAUGUUAAGAAGCCAAUAGCAAAUAUGUUUAUAAAUUACAUGGUUUUAAGCUACGUGGAUAUUUUAAAAUUUAUUUACUGUUUCUGAACUCCUGAGUUUUUCUUACUUGUUUUUGUAUGUAAAAGUGAAACAUUGACUGCUCUGAGUUGGUUAAAACUAAUGUUAUUGUUUAAAAAAAAAAAAAAGGCAACGUUUCACUGAUCAAAGUCUGCAUUAGAAAAUGGAUCUACAGGGACAAAAACAGUUCUUUUUGGUGGAUGUUGAAUCAAAGUUUGCAUGAAUGUAAAAUGGUGGAGUGCACCACGUUGUGUGCAGUUUCCCAUGUAAAACUAUGACUUCUACCAUUUAGCAUUUGGUAGUAUAAAUCCAUGGAAGUUAAAGAAAUGGAGAUGAAUUUACCAUUCCCCCUGGUGUUUUUAUUUUUGUUUUCAGUGUUUUUUUUACACUCCACAGUCAGCUGUUGAAGCAGGUUUCCCUAUCUGUAGAACUUUCAUGCAGUAUAGACAGAAAAAGUAAGUUAAAAAGUAGGGAAUAAAAGUUUUGGCAAAUCUUUCUGUAUUAGCA
rnacentral:lncRNA from 1 species